CGGGGGGCAGCAGUCGAGGAUCUUCGGCAAUGGACGAAAGUCUGACCGAGCAACGCCGCGUGUGCGAUGAAGGCCUUCGGGUUGUAAAGCACUGUCGAGGGGAAACAAGCCGUAAGGUUGAGUGACCCCUGGAGGAAGCACGGGCUAAGUUCGUGCCAGCAGCCGCGGUAAGACGAACCGUGCAAACGUUAUUCGGAAUCACUGGGCUUAAAGGGCGCGUAGGCGGGUGAUCAAGUCAAUGGUGAAAUCCUCCAGCUUAACUGGAGAAGUGCCUUUGAUACUGAUUGUCUAGAGGGAGGUAGGGGCAUGUGGAACUUCAGGUGGAGCGGUGAAAUGCGUAGAUAUCUGAAGGAACGCCAGUGGCGAAAGCGAUGUGCUGGACCUCUUCUGACGCUGAGGCGCGAAAGCUAGGGGAUCAAACGGGAUUAGAUACCCGAGU
rnacentral:rRNA from 1 species